GCCCACUGAAAUUUUUAAAUGGCCGCAGUAAUUUGACUGUGCAAAGGUAGCAUAAUCAUUAGUUUUUUAAUUAAAAGCUUGUAUGAAAGGUUGGACGAAGUAAAAUCUGUCUCUAUUUAAUUUAUAUUAGAAUUUAAUUUUUAAGUUAAAAAGCUUAAAUUUUUAUAAAAGACGAGAAGACCCUAUAGAACUUUAUAAUUCAUUUAAUAUAAUAAAUUAGGAUUUAUUUAAGUUUUAUUAAUAUAAUUAUUUUAUUGGGGUAAUAUAAAGAUUAAAAUAAUUCUUUUUUAUUAUUUACAUUUAUUUAUGGUAUAUAAAGGAUCCAUUUUUAGUGAUUAUAAGAUUAAGUUACCUUAGGGAUAACAGCGUAAUUUUUUUAGAGAGUUCAUAUCGAUAAAAAAGUUUGCGACCUCGAUGUUGGAUUAAAGAUUAGUUUAGGUGUAGAUGUUUAAAUUUUUGGUCUGUUCGACCAUUAAAUCUUUACAUGAUCUGAGUUCAGACCGGUGUAAGCCAGGUCGGUUUCUAUCUUUAUUAAAUUUAAAUAUUUUAGUACGAAAGGACCAAAUAUUUAAUAUAUAUAUAUUUUUAUUUUUGAAUAUUAAUAAUUAUUUUGGCAGAUUAGUGCAAUGAAUUUAGAAUUCAAAUAUGUAGUUAUAUUACAAAUAAUACUUGUUUUAUAUAGAUAUAUUAUUUUCUUUAAUUUGUAUAAUAUUAUUAGUAAUUUGUAUUUUAGUAGGGGUUGCUUUUUUAACUUUAUUAGAACGUAAAGUAUUAGGUUAUA
rnacentral:rRNA from 1 species